AACGAACGCUGGCGGCAUGCCUAACACAUGCAAGUCGAACGAGACCUUCGGGUCUAGUGGCGCACGGGUGCGUAACGCGUGGGAACCUGCCCUUAGGUUCGGAAUAACUCCCCGAAAGGGGUGCUAAUACCGGAUAAUGUCUUCGGACCAAAGAUUUAUCGCCUUUGGAUGGGCCCGCGUUGGAUUAGCUAGUUGGUAGGGUAAAAGCCUACCAAGGCGACGAUCCAUAGCUGGUCUGAGAGGAUGAUCAGCCACACUGGGACUGAGACACGGCCCAGACCCCUACGGGGGGGAGCAGGGGGGAAAAUUGGACAAGGGGCGAAAGCCUGAUCCAGCAAUGCCGGGUGGGUGAUGAAGGCUUUAGGUUUGUAAAGCUCUUUUCCCCGGGAUGAUAAUGACGGUACCGGGAAAAAAAGCCCCGGCAAACCCCGU
rnacentral:rRNA from 1 species